UACAGAGGUCCCGAGCGUUGUUCGGAUUCACUGGGCGUAAAGGGUGCGUAGGUGGUGAGGUAAGUCGGAUGUGAAAUCUCCGGGCUUAACCCGGAAACUGCAUUGGAAACUACCUUGCUAGAGGUUUUGAGGGGGGACUGGAAUUCUCGGUGUAGCAGUGAAAUGCGUAGAUAUUGGGAGGAACACCAGUGGCGAAGGCGGCUCACUGGACCGGUACUGACGCUGAUGCGCGAAAGCGUGGGGAGCAAACGGG
rnacentral:rRNA from 1 species